ACAGCUUCUCAGGAUCGAAGGGGCCAGAGAUCGUCACCGUCCCGUUCUUCUCAUCAUAGGCUAUGGUCUUGAUGUUCUCCUUUUCUUGAGCAACCAACACAAACACAGAGAUAAAGAUCCACAUUUACGUCAAAUUUUCUCCCUUGUAAGUGACAUCAAGGAAUGAUCAUGAUGUUUCUAACCUUGGAUCUUGCAUAGAGUCUUCCUGAUCUUUUUGUAACAGAUGUGGCAGUCAAGGUCAACCUUCAAGAUCAAUGUCGAGAUCUGCAACAAGAUUGUGUAAGUACACAAAAGACCAACCCUGCUGUGGAAAUAUGCCACCAAAGGAGAGCACCAAAUGAUGACCACAAAUCACGAGACAUACUGUAACAUACAAGGCGGAGGUGAAGGAGAAGAAGAGCUACAGUGGACUGACAAGAAUUGCCUACCUU
rnacentral:lncRNA from 1 species